GGGUCAGUAGUAUAAUGUUUAUUAUUGCCGGCUCCAGCCCGGCGGACGGGGGUUAAAUUCCCUCCUGGCCCA
rnacentral:tRNA from 1 species